AUAAUGGGUCAGCGACUUACAUUUUGUAGCGAGGUUAACCGUAUAGGGGAGCCGUAGGGAAACCGAGUCUUAACUGGGCGUCUAGUUGCAAGGUGUAGACCCGAAACCGGGUGAUCUAGCCAUGGGCAGGUUGAAGGUUGAGUAACAUCAACUGGAGGACCGAACCCACUAACGUUGCAAAGUUAGGGGAUGACCUGUGGCUGGGGGUGAAAGGCCAAUCAAACUCGGAGAUAGCUGGUUCUCCCCGAAAGCUAUUUAGGUAGCGCCUCGGACGAAUACUACUGGGGGUAGAGCACUGUUUGGGCUAGGGGGUCAUCCCGACUUACCAACCCCAUGCAAACUCCGAAUACCAGUAAGUAAUAUCCGGGAGACACACGGCGGGUGCUAACGUCCGUCGUGAAGAGGGAAACAACCCAGACCGCCGGCUAAGGUCCCAAAGUUCUGGUUAAGUGGGAAACGAUGUGGGAAGGCUCAGACAGCUAGGAUGUUGGCUUAGAAGCAGCCAUCAUUUAAAGAAAGCGUAAUAGCUCACUAGUCGAGUCGGCCUGCGCGGAAGAUGUAACGGGGCUCAAACCAGGCACCGAAGCCGCGGAUUCACGCUAAGCGUGAGUGGUAGGGGAGCGU
rnacentral:rRNA from 1 species